CUGGCUCAGGACGACGCUGGCGGCGUGCCUAACACAUGCAAGUCGAGCGAGGAGAUCCUUCGGGAUGAUCCUAGCGGCGGACGGGUGAGUAACACGUGGGCAACCUGCCUCAUAGAGAGGAAUAGCCUUCCGAAAGGGAGAUUAAUACCUCAUAACAUUGCAGUUUCGCAUGGAACAGCAAUUAAAGGAGCAAUCCGCUAUGAGAUGGGCCCGCGGCGCAUUAGCUAGUUGGUGAGGUAACGGCUCACCAAGGCGACGAUGCGUAGCCGACCUGAGAGGGUGAUCGGCCACAUUGGGACUGAGACACGGCCCAGACUCCUACGGGAGGCAGCAGUGGGGAAUAUUGCACAAUGGGGGAAACCCUGAUGCCAGCAACGCCGCGUGAGUGAUGACGGCCUUCGGGUUGUAAAGCUCUGUCUUCAGGGACGAUAAUGACGGUACCUGAGGAGGAAGCCACGGCUAACUACGUGCCAGCCGCCGC
rnacentral:rRNA from 1 species